GACGAACGCUGGCGGCGUGCUUAACACAUGCAAGUCGAACGGAAAGGCCCUGCUUUUGUGGGGUGCUCGAGUGGCGAACGGGUGAGUAACACGUGAGUAACCUGCCCUUGACUUUGGGAUAACUUCAGGAAACUGGGGCUAAUACCGGAUAGGAGCUCCUGCUGCCUGGUGGGGGUUGGAAAGUUUCGGCGGUUGGGGAUGGACUCGCGGCUUAUCAGCUUGUUGGUGGGGUAGUGGCUUACCAAGGCUUUGACGGGUAGCCGGCCUGAGAGGGUGACCGGCCACAUUGGGACUGAGAUACGGCCCAGACUCCUACGGGAGGCAGCAGUGGGGAAUAUUGCACGAUGGGCGGAAGCCUGAUGCAGCAACGCCGCGUGCGGGAUGACGGCCUUCGGGUUGUAAACCGCUUUCGCCUGUGACGAAGCGUGAGUGACGGUAAUGGGUAAAGAAGCACCGGCUAACUACGUG
rnacentral:rRNA from 1 species